rnacentral:misc_RNA from 1 species
GUCAUGUGAUUGAAUCUUUAGAUAUAUGAAAUGUGGCGUGGAAGAUUUAGCCUGAAUCAUCUGCUGCUUCAACCAAGUUGUAGUCAUGACAUGGCGCUGGGGUUCUUUGUGAUGGGCAAGUUUCCAUCAUAAGUGCAUUUUAGGACAUCUGGUGUCCUCACCACACGGGGUCCACCAGGCACCUUGCUGGGUUUGGGACGAAUG